CAGUCGCCGCGGUAAUACGAACCGUGCGAACGUUAUUCGGAAUCACUGGGCGUAAAGGGAGCGCAGGCGGGCGAGUAAGUCUUUCUUAAAAGUGCGGGGCUCAACCCCGUGAGGGGAGAGAAACUACUCAUCUUGAGUGCAGGAGAGGAAAGCGGAAUUCCUAGUGUAGCGGUGAAAUGCGUAGAUAUUAGGAAGAACACCAGUAGCGAAGGCGGCUUUCUGGACUGUAACUGACGCUGAGGCUCGAAAGCCAGGGGAGCGAACGGGAUUAGAUACCCGCGUAGUCCCUGUCUCUUAUACC
rnacentral:rRNA from 1 species